rnacentral:rRNA from 1 species
GAUGAACGCUGGCGGUAUGCCUAACACAUGCAAGUCGAACGAAAUCUUCGGAUUUAGUGGCGGACGGGUGAGUAACACGUGAGAAUCUGCCUGUUGGUCGGGGAUAACAGUUGGAAACGACUGCUAAUACCGGAUGAGCCGAAAGGUAAAAUUUAUUGCCAACAGAAGAGCUCGCGCCUGAUUAGCUAGAUGGUGGGGUAAAAGCCUACCAUGGCGACGAUCAGUAGCUGGUCUGAGAGGAUGAGCAGCCACACUGGGACUGAGACACGGCCCAGACUCCUACGGGAGGCAGCAGUGGGGAAUUUUCCGCAAUGGGCGAAAGCCUGACGGAGCAAUACCGCGUGAGGGA